rnacentral:sRNA from 1 species
AUCUUUGGGAGCUUGCUCCCAAAAGUUAGCGGCGGACGGGUGAGUAACACGUGGCCAACCUGCCUAUAAGACUGGGAUAACUUCGGGAAACCGGAGCUAAUACUGGAUGAUUCUUUUCUACGCAUGUAGGAAAGCUGAAAGACGGUUUACGCUGUCACUUAUAGAUGGGCCCGCGGCGCAUUACUCUAGUUGGUGAGGUAACGGCUCACCAAGGCGGGGAUGUGUAGCCGACGUGAGAGGGUGAUCGGCCACACUGGGACUUUUUUCUCGGCCCACGAACCUACGGGAGGCAUCUCCUCCUCUGGCAUCAUAC